rnacentral:tRNA from 1 species
AAAAAAAUAGCUUAAAUUUAUAAAGCAUAAUACUGAAGCUAUUAAGAUAAUUAAAAAUUUUAAAACA